CAUCAAUGACAAUUUCCCACAAUUCACAAGACAGAUGUACGAAUUCUUCCUUCCUGAGGGAGAUUAUUCACUACACGAAUUCCUUGUUGGAAGGACUGCUGCAUCUGACAAGGACGCUGGUACGUCUAGCUGUUCUUCAAGUCAGGGACAAAUUCGUUACAAAAUCGUGAAUGAAACAGGUCGAGGCAAGUGAUAAAGACAUAGGUGAAAAUUCCAAUAUAACGUUUUCCAUAUUUUCUGGUAAUACUGGUGGAGCAUUCCUUAUCGAUGGGCAGACAGGUCAAAUCCAGGUUGCUGGGAAACUGGACCGAGAAACACAGAACAGAUAUGAAUUAAUCGUCGAUGCAACU